UCCCUCACUCUCCCUCAUCACUCUCUCUCUCUCGGCUCUCUCUAUCUCAGCUCCUCUAAGAGCUUUUCUUACCAACAAACAACACCACAACAACAUCAACAUCUCCAUUAGCACCCUAGUGAGCUUAGAAUUGAAGAAAGAACACCCCAAACCCUUCUCUUCCAUUUGGCCAGUACUGUUCAUCGUCUUCCCCGAUGAGUUUCUGGAUUUUUCAACGUUGAAAAUAGCUCGGGAAAGCUUUUCCAAAUUUUCCGGCGAGCACCGUCACUUUCGAGAUAAUUUCAGCCAAACCACUGCUAGUUGGCCGGCGUUCAAGUUUCCGGCGACCUCCGAGGCUUUCGAGGUAUUUUCCGGCAAAACCACGGCGAUUUAGAUGUCGUGUGAGGGGCAAUUAUUGGUGACGUUUUCUUGUUCGUUAGUUUGCGUGGCUCUUCGGCGGCUAAGUACUGACUUAGAAUCGAGGCAUACAAUUCCGGCAUCAAGGCACUUCCGC